CGUCCUGUACAGGUGCCAGGUUCGGAUGCGUGGAUAAAAAGGGACCAGCUUCUCUCAUAGGCCGCAGUCACGUAAACCCGACCCUGAGUGGCUGAGGGCCAGGGCACAGUGGCUCACCACCACACUCAUCUGCAUCACUAUAUUUUAUGUGACUAUAUGUUUGCUGGUUUCGCCCUCUGAUGGUGGCAGCCCUAGUAGUUCCUGACAAAUGCUAUGCUUAAAUAUACGUAUGAUGUAUGGACUAAGUGUGGGUCCCACCAUCCUUGGAUUAAUUUGUGCUGGUGUCUCUGUGUGGUGCAGACAUAGUCCUCAGGCUGCACUGUGAGGCUCAUUUUCCUUUCUGGAGCCCUCACUCUUCCUUCAUUAUACGGGAAAAACUCAAAAAGAGAAGUUUGUGGAGCUUCAACUGCUCUUUGAAACAGGUGCUUGGAGCCAGAGCUGAAGCCACCCUACCCAGGAUUUGCUCUUUUCUGCUCUCCACUCCUAAAAAUGUCUGCAGGAGAGUCUCCUAAUCAGCGAUAUUCCGAAGAAGGAUGAUUUUUCUCCUAGCCACCUCAGUAUAGUUCUUUAGUGACUCUGGCCUAUGUGGGCUCCGCUGGUUUUGUCUCAUGACAUGCCAGAACUCAUGAUUGAGCAGAGACCACUAACUAUUACUGCCCAGCACAGCUGAGUGAAUUUCCUCCUUCAUACUCCAAGGACAGGACCGGAACAUAGAAAAAGCAAACUGAAAGGUCAAUCUCAUCUCUAGUAAACAUCUCAGGGGAAAUUCAUGGGCUGGUGGAUUUCUUCUGUAUACCAGCUCUUCAAGUGCCUGCCAUCUUCUUCCCUUGGUUGUUGCCUUACACACAGGGUUCUCAGUUAACCGUUUUAAGCAACACAACCCCAUCAAGCUGCUGAGCCAACAACCCCUCUGUGGACCGGAUCCUCUCCUCAGAUAACUUCUGUCUGCAAAUGGGGAAGAAGGAGGAUGGAGAGAAACAAAGCAAGUUCAUCUAUUGCCCCAGAACACUGUGCAAAGAGGCUACUUAAGUGUAAAUGUGGACUCUGGUUGUGGCAUGGCCACUAAUCAGGUGUCUGUCACAGCAACGCACAGAUGACUGAGAAGGUGGUGAGAUAUGCGGAGGAGGAACUCCAGUCAUGGAAAGGGUUAUAACUCGACUGGAUCAAAUCCAGGACCACCCUCCUGGUCUACUUGCUCUCCAAUUAUUCCCCAUGGUGGUGCUGAAGAUUGUACCUGGAGCCUCGAUGUGCUAGACAAAGCACACUCCCCUGAGCUCCAUCCCCAACCCUAAAAUGAUCUUUUUUGAUCAAGUGUUCUGCUUACUAGUCCUGCUGACCAGCACACCUUUACAAAUCUGUAGUUUGUAAAGAUUUAUUCUCUUUA
rnacentral:sRNA from 1 species